rnacentral:misc_RNA from 1 species
UGAUUGAGUUUGAGGCCUGAGAUUGAAACAUCACCAGAAAGAGUAUUUGUAGGUUCAUUACAUUCAACUGGAGCAUCUUCUGAUGUUUUUUCAGAAUCCACAAAAUGCUGGUCAGUGAUGCCAGAAGCUUUAACAACCUUCCCUUGAAACUUUAUCUUUCCAGUAGCUUUCAGGUGCACAGGUCUUGGAGAAUCCAAAGCAUAUGAAGAGACUGAACUGAAAAACUCAAAACUGCGCAUUCUCAGAUCCAG